rnacentral:rRNA from 1 species
AGUGAACGCUGGCGGUAGGCCUAACACGUGCAAGUCGAACGGCAGCACAGUAAGAGCUUGCUCUUACGGGUGGCGAGUGGCGGACGGGUGAGGAAUACAUCGGAAUCUACUUUUUCGUGGGGGAUAACGUAGGGAAACUUACGCUAAUACCGCAUACGACCUACGGGUGAAAGCAGGGGAUCUUCGGACCUUGCGCGAUUGAAUGAGCCGAUGCCGGAUUAGCUAGUUGGCGGGGUAAAGGCCCACCAAGGCGACGAUCCGUAGCUGGUCUGAGAGGAUGAUCAGCCACACUGGAACUGAGACACGGUCCAGACUCCUACGGGAGGCAGCAGUGGGGAAUAUUGGACAAUGGGCGCAAGCCUGAUCCAGCCAUACCGCGUGGGUGAAGAAGGCCUUCGGGUUGUAAAGCCCUUUUGUUGGGAAAGAAAAGCAGCAGGUUAAUACCCCGCUGUUCUGACGGUACCCAAAGAAUAAGCACCGGCUAACUUCGUG